rnacentral:rRNA from 1 species
CCUACGGGGGGCAGCAGUGGGGAAUAUUGGGCAAUGGGCGCAAGCCUGAUGCAGCAACGCCGCGUGAGGGAAGAAGGCUUUCGGGUUGUAAACUUCUUUUCUCAGGGACGAAGCAAGUGACGGUACCUGAGGAAUAAGCCACGGCUAACUACGUGCGAGCAGCCGCGGUAAUACGUGGGUGGCAAGCGUUAUCCGGAUAUACUGGGUGUAAAGGGCGUGUAGGCGGGGACGCAAGUCAGAGGUGAAAACCACGGGCUCAACCUGGGGCCUGCAUUUGAAACUGUGUGUCUUGAGUACUGGAGAGGCAGACGGAAUUCCUAGUGUAGCGGUGAAAUGCGUAGAUAUUAGGAGGAACACCAGUGGCGAAGGCGGUCUGCUGGACAGCAACUGACGCUGAGGCGCGAAAGCGUGGGGAGCAAACAGGAUUAGAUACCCUUGUAGUC